GACAAAGCAGACACUCAUGAACCUCUGCCAGGCCUGCACAGGGGCAGCACUCCCAGCUCCCACCCGCUGCCAUCGCUCCCAGCCCCGGGAAUCUGGGGGUUUGGGAUUAAACAUUCCCCUCCUGCAGCAUCAGCCCUGCCCUGGCUCUGUCCUGGCCCCUUGGGGACACCUGGCUGUGCUGGACACAAGUGCCACUGGCACAGCUCCUGCUCCCAGCCCCUCCUGCCAAGCGCCCGCUGGAUUUGGGAGCAGUCCAAGCAAUCUCCAGGCAGGCAGGAAGCUCAGAGAAGCUCUGCCCUCCACCCAUGGGUGGCAAACCCACACCGACCUCCAGCCCCCAUCCGCCCCCGGGAAGGGGAACACUGCUGACAGAUAAAAACCCUGUUUGGAAACCUUUUCCAGGAGCUGCCCGACAUCUGCCAGGCAGAUCCAGCACAGAAAAGCUGCCCUGAGGACGGGAACGGCCCUGGGUGCAGCCACCACAAACCAGCAGGGACAUCCAGUGGUGGCACCAGGAAAUGGUGCAGAACCUCUGUCCUGCCAGGGGCAGCUGCAAGAGCAGGCAGGGGGAAAAGCAUCCAGCCCUUUUAUUUUAUUUCUGGAGGUGGUGAAGGUGCCAGUGCAAUCCCAGAGAUGCUGGGGAUGGUGAUUUUGGCCAUCCUGGGUGUCCCUGGGAUGGGUGGGCACCACCUCAGGGCCACGCUGGGGCACUCAGCCACAAAAUUAAAAAUAAAUAGCUGGGAAUGGCAGAGGCAGGAACAUCCUAAAUGAGUGAGGUUUGCUGAGGAGCUCAGGGAAGCGACGCCAGCUGGGGGGAACCAGCAAAGCACAGCAAAGGGGCUGCAAAAGCUCCUGGGUCAAGGGCAGGAAGAAGUGCUUGAGGAAAGCUUUUCCCCCACAAGAAGUUACACAACAGUUUGCUCUUCCAAGCUGUAUCUUUGGAGAAAAAAAAAAAAGAAAAAAGAAGAAAAAAAAGACAAAAAAAGGGGAAGAAAAAGAAAAGGAAAAAAAAAGGAAAAAGAAGUAUUUAUCUGGAGGCUCUGGGCGAAGCUGGAUGCUCUCCAGGGCCGGCACCUGAGCCAAGCCAUGUUUGUGCAACCCUUCAACCCCUCCACCAAGUGCUGGCUUGCUAAACCGGGAUCGCUUCCCUCGAUCCCUCCAGCUGCAUUUCCCUCCUCCCGCGCUGGCAAAGGCCGCAGAAACGGGACGGGGGGAGAAGAAAAACAAAACAAAACCCGCCCCGAGGAGCGGCGGGGACCGCGCGGUUAAUUAACAACUGUAACCAUUAAUUGCGCGGGGAGGAGCCGCGCGGGGAGCGCAGCGCGAUAAAGGCACGGGGAGAUAAACACGAGCCGUGCUCGGGCUCGGGGCACCGCCGGGGGCUCGGGGGGCUCCGGGGGGAGCCCGGGGGUGCGGGAGGGAGCCCGGGGGGGCGGAGCGGGAGCGGCGCUUUGUCUGCAGCAGCGGCGGAUGCGCGGCGCGGCCGGCGGCGCUCGGAGCCCCCCUCUGCAGGACAAUUUCCAUGGAUCGGGUCGCUCCGAGCCCUGUCCAACCUGGCCUUGGACACGCCAGGAUCUGCCUCCUGCUGACGGAGCUGCUUAGAGGGAAAAAGAAAAGAAAAAGGGCCCAGAGCAGAAACGAAAAUAAUCUCCAUAAACAAAGGACGGGGACAGAUUAAAGACGCAGCGUCGCUGGCACUUUAUAAACCAGGCCUUUGUGUGGAAAAGGAAACUGGAGUUGCUGGUUGCACCCCGGGACAGGUCCUUGCAGGCAGCUCCCAGGGGAAUUCCUGCUGCCAGGACCUGGCCAAGCACACCUGCAGGGGCUGGGCUGCAGGGGCCCCGGGGUGACAGAUAUUUGUCACCUAAAAAUCAGGCUCAGGAGGAACCAGAGCAGUUUCAGCCUCCCACAACCUCUCUGUAUUUCCAGGUCCAUCCCCUGAGCCCCACAUUCAUCCCAGUUUUAAAAAUGCAAAUAAACC